UCUGGCCAUUUAACUUUUAACUUCUCUUUCCAGGAAUCAUCCUUCUAUUCUUGAGUGCUUUAUGUUCAAAAUGAAACUCUUAAAAAUCAUCUCUGACUGGCCAUGGCAUGAUUGCAGGACACUGAAUGAGAGAGCACUUUGCAUGUAGAAAGAGGGCUGUCCCACAGCAUAGAUUCUGAUAGUGGUUACAACUGUCUCAGCCCAUCUGGCACAUGGACUUUCUACCAGAGGAGGCCCACAUCCACUGGAUUCUCCAGUUGAUUCCUGGAAGAAGCAAGGACAUGAAUGAAGUUCUUUAUCUGAAAGACUUUGAGAUGCACAGCAAUGACAAGGAGGCUUGGGGAGUGAUCAAGUGGAGAGAAUAAAGGACAGGUCCAGUGGAUUAAUCUGCAUGGGAUCCACUAGCCAUUGUUUCCUCAUAGAACAUACCUACUUCAGCUAAACACGGAGAAAAAUUCUACCCACUGUUUUUUGCAAUAUGCCCAUGUACAACUCCAGAGGCAGCUCAGUGGUAUCGGCUAUGCAAGAGUGAAAAAAUGUUGGCUUCUUAACAGUUAACUGGUGUCCUGUAGGGAAUGGGUUCCUUAUUUUAAAACAUUUUUUUGAAACUUGUCUAUCAUACAGAAUAUGAAAUGGAAUAGUAGCUGUUUUGGAACCGGAGAAAGAAAACACUCUACUGACGUUGCUUAAAAUGUAGUUUCAUAGGUGCACCAUCAAUAAUGUAGCUACAGUUCAUAAGGUUCUUAGGCACACAGCCUUAGCACACGUGCAAGGGAUUGACAAGACAGACCAUGAUGGCUCCAAAGGGUCAAUAAAACAUGCACCAUGAAGGAUUUACA
rnacentral:lncRNA from 1 species